UACGUAGGGGGCAAGCGUUGUCCGGAAUUAUUGGGCGUAAAGGGCGCGUAGGCGGCCUGGCAAGUGGAAGGUGAAAUCCCUCGGCUUAACCGAGGAACUGCCUCCCAAACUGCUUGGCUUGAGACCAGGAGAGGUGAGUGGAAUUCCCAGUGUAGCGGUGAAAUGCGUAGAUAUUGGGAGGAACACCAGUGGCGAAGGCGGCUCACUGGACUGGUACUGACGCUGAGGCGCGAAAGCGUGGGGAGCAAACGGG
rnacentral:rRNA from 1 species